ACAACGGAGAGUUUGAUCCUGGCUCAGGAUGAACGCUGGCGGCGUGCUUAACACAUGCAAGUCGAACGAACCUUCGGGUUAGUGGCGGACGGGUGAGUAACGCGUGAGAAUCUGCCCUCAGGAGGGGGAUAACGGCUGGAAACGGCCGCUAAUACCCCAUAUGCCGAGAGGUGAAAUGAAUUUCGCCUGAGGAUGAGCUCGCGUCUGAUUAGCUAGUUGGUGGGGUAAGAGCCUACCAAGGCUUCGAUCAGUAGCUGGUCUGAGAGGAUGAUCAGCCACACUGGGACUGAGACACGGCCCAGACUCCUACGGGAGGCAGCAGUGGGGAAUUUUCCGCAAUGGGCGAAAGCCUGACGGAGCAACGCCGCGUGAGGGAUGAAGGCCUCUGGGCUGUAAACCUCUUUUAUCAAGGAAGAAGAUCUGACGGUACUUGAUGAAUAAGCCACGGCUAAUUCCGUGCCAGCAGCCGCGGUAAUACGGGAGUGGCAAGCGUUAUCCGGAAUUAUUGGGCGUAAAGCGUCCGCAGGCGGUCUUGUAAGUCUGUUGUUAAAGCGUGGAGCUUAACUCCAUUUCAGCAAUGGAAACUGCAAGACUAGAGUGUGGUAGGGGCAGAGGGAAUUCCCGGUGUAGCGGUGAAAUGCGUAGAUAUCGGGAAGAACACCAGUGGCGAAGGCGCUCUGCUGGGCCAUAACUGACGCUCAUGGACGAAAGCCAGGGGAGCGAAAGGGAUUAGAUACCCCUGUAGUCCUGGCCGUAAACGAUGAACACUAGGUGUCGGGGGAAUCGACCCCCUCGGUGUCGUAGCCAACGCGUUAAGUGUUCCGCCUGGGGAGUACGCACGCAAGUGUGAAACUCAAAGGAAUUGACGGGGGCCCGCACAAGCGGUGGAGUAUGUGGUUUAAUUCGAUGCAACGCGAAGAACCUUACCAGGGUUUGACAUCCUGCGAAUCUCUUGGAAACGAGAGAGUGCCUUCGGGAACGCAGUGACAGGUGGUGCAUGGCUGUCGUCAGCUCGUGUCGUGAGAUGUUGGGUUAAGUCCCGCAACGAGCGCAACCCACGUCGUUAGUUGCCAGCAUUCAGUUGGGCACUCUAGCGAGACCGCCGGUGAUAAACCGGAGGAAGGUGUGGAUGACGUCAAGUCAUCAUGCCCCUUACAUCCUGGGCUACACACGUACUACAAUGCUACGGACAAAGGGCAGCAAACUCGCGAGAGCUAGCAAAUCCCAUAAACCGUGGCUCAGUUCAGAUCGUAGGCUGCAACUCGCCUACGUGAAGGAGGAAUCGCUAGUAAUCGCAGGUCAGCAUACUGCGGUGAAUACGUUCCCGGGCCUUGUACACACCGCCCGUCACACCAUGGAAGUUGGCCACGCCCGAAGCCGUUACUCCAACCCGCAAGGGAGGAGGACGCCGAAGGUGGGGCUGAUGACUGGGGUGAAGUCGUAACAAGGUAGCCGUACCGGAAGGUGCGGCUGGAUCACCUCCU
rnacentral:rRNA from 1 species